UUAUAGCUCUUGCUCGUAUGCGGGGAAUGAUAUGGAGUGGUACAGCACACUUUGGUGGUGCUUGUGCUGGCAUAAUGGCUUUAAACGACCCGUCUUGAAACACGGACCAAGGAGUCUAACAUGUCUGCGAGUGUUUGGGUGGAAAACCCGGGCGCGUAAUGAAAGUGAUGGCUGGGAACCCCUUUUGGGAGGCACCGGCGCCCCGAGCUGACCUUCUGUGACGCAUCGGAGGCAGAGCAUACAUGUUGGGACCCGAAAGAUGGUGAACUAUGCC
rnacentral:rRNA from 1 species